GACGAACGCUGGCGGCGUGCUUAACACAUGCAAGUCGAACGGCAAGGCCCUGCUUUUGUGGGGUGCUCGAGUGGCGAACGGGUGAGUAACACGUGAGUAACCUGCCCUUGACUUUGGGAUAACUUCAGGAAACUGGGGCUAAUACCGGAUAGGAGCUCCUGCUGCAUGGUGGGGGUUGGAAAGUUUCGGCGGUUGUGGAUGGACUCGCGGCUUAUCAGCUUGUUGGUGGGGUAGUGGCUUACCAAGGCUUUGACGGGUAGCCGGCCUGAGAGGGUGACCGGCCACAUUGGGACUGAGAGACGGCCCAGACUCCUACGUGAGACAGCAGUGGGGAAUAUGGCACAAUGGGCGGAAGCCUGAUGCAGCAACGCCGCGUGCGGGAUGACGGCCUUCGGGUUGUAAACCGCUUUCGCCUGUGACGAAGCGUGAGUGACGGUAAUGGGUAAAGAAGCACCGGCUAACUACGUG
rnacentral:rRNA from 1 species